UACGGAGGGGGCGAGCGUUAUUCGGAAUUAUUGGGCGUACAGGGCGCGUAGGCGGCUUGACAAGUCAAAGGUGAAAUCCCUCGGCUCAACUGAGGAACUGCCUUUGAAACUGUCAGGCUUGAGGCCGGGAGGGGGUAGCGGAAUUCCCAAUGUAGCGGUGAAAUGCGUAGAUAUCGGGAGGAACACCAGUGGCGAAGGCGGCUACCUGGACCGGUACUGACGCUGAGGCGCGAAAGCGUGGGGAGCAAACAGG
rnacentral:rRNA from 1 species